AUGAUGGACUGUAGGACAGGACUGCUGCUUUUAACUCUCUGCUGGGCAGGUGUUGAUGGUCAGACUCUGACAGAAUCUGAAUCAGUGGUUAAAAGACCUGGAGAAUCCCACAGACUGACCUGUACAGCCUCUGGAUUCACAUUCAGCAGCUCCUACAUGGCCUGGAUCAGACAGGCUCCUGGAAAAGGACUAGAGUGGAUUGCCUGGCAUGAUACUGGUAGUGGCAAAUACUAUUCUCAGUCAGUCCAAGGACGGUUUACCAUCUCCAGAGACAACAGCAGAGAGCAGCUGUAUCUGCAGUUGAACAGUCUGAAGACUGAAGAUUCUGCUGUUUAUUAUUGUGCUCGAGACUCACAGUGACUGGAGCUGAUUGAACAGCUGUACAAAAUCCUACAGUCUUCAUCUUGUGAAGCGUCAUGUGCUUUUAUAUUUGAUACUUAAAUGUUUGAUUUUAUAUCAUUUGUUUAUGUCAACAAUCUUAUGUUUUAUAGUAAAUAUUCUGCUUUACAUAUCUAUUUUUGAUAAAUGAACAAUGGUUGCUGUACUAUACAAGUUCCUUUAAACUCUUCCUGAAAAUAUGUCUAAACAUUAAACACAUAAAAAACACAACAAAGAAAAUUUGUUCAAGAAAGGAUUAAAGACGGUACAACAAUGUGGCUGCUGAAAACAAACAACAAAUAAAAUACAUUUAAUCAAAUUAAGACAUA